rnacentral:rRNA from 1 species
AACGAACGCUGGCGGCAGGCCUAACACAUGCAAGUCGAACGCAUCGCAAGAUGAGUGGCAGACGGGUGAGUAACGCGUGGGAACCUUCCCAGUGGUGCGGAAUAGCUCAGGGAAACUUGAGGUAAUACCGCAUGAGCCCGCAAGGGGAAAGAUUUAUCGCCAUUGGAUGGGCCCGCGUCGGAUUAGCUAGUUGGUGAGGUAACGGCUCACCAAGGCGACGAUCCGUAGCUGGUUUGAGAGAAUGACCAGCCACACUGGGACUGAGACACGGCCCAGACUCCUACGGGAGGCAGCAGUGGGGAAUAUUGGACAAUGGGCGCAAGCCUGAUCCAGCCAUGCCGCGUGAGUGACGAAGGCCUUAGGGUUGUAAAGCUCUUUUGGCGGGGACGAUAAUGACGGUACCCGCAGAAUAAGCCCCGGCUAACUUCGUGCCAGCAGCCGCGGUAAGUCUCGCGUGA